rnacentral:tRNA from 1 species
GGCUCCAUAGCUCAGUGGUUAGAGCGCUGGUCUAGUAAACCAGAGGUCGCGAGUGAUUCAAUCCUCACUGGAGCCU